ACUCCGGGGAUAACAGGCUGAUCUCCCCCAAGAGUUCACAUCGACGGGGAGGUUUGGCACCUCGAUGUCGGCUCAUCGCAUCCUGGGGCUGAAGUAGGUCCCAAGGGUUUGGCUGUUCGCCAAGUAAAGCGGUACGCGAGCUGGGUUUAAAACGUCGUGAGACAGUUUGGUCCCUAUCUACCGUGGGCGCAGGAUAUUUGAGAAGAGCUGUCCUUAGUACGAGAGGACCGGGAUGGACGUACCGCUAGUGUUCCAGUUGUGUCGCCAGAUGCAGUCGCUGGGUAGCCACGUACGGAAAGGAUAACCGCUGAAAGCAUCUAAGCGGGAAGCCUCCUUCAAGAUUAGAUAUCCCUGGGUGUAACAACCCCUGAAGGCCCGUUGUAGACCACAACGUUGAUAGGCUGGGUGUGUAAGUGCAGUAAUGCAUUUAGCUGACCAGUACUAAUCGGCCGUGAGGCUUGACCAUAAAA
rnacentral:rRNA from 1 species